UCGAGGAGAAGAAUAUUUGUUUAGUAAGUUUUUUGAUUAUUUGAAAUAAAAUAAAAUACUCUCUCAAUGGAUACCUACUUAUACUCUAUAAUUAAAUGAAAUUGCAGAAAGAAAGAAUCACACCUUAUUAGAUAUGGUGCGAUCCAUGAUGUGUUUCACGGAUCUUUCGAUAUCCUUUUGAGGAUAUGCUCUCGAAGCCGCAGUGUA
rnacentral:lncRNA from 1 species